UCGAAACGUCAUAGUUUUUGUUAUUUUCCUUGAACCUAUCUACGUGACUUUACCGAAAGACCCAAAGAAUACUUUUAAGUCUGCUACAAAACUGGCUCAGACUCAAGGAUGGAUCUCGAACUUGUAUCAGUAACUGGUUCCAGGUCUUCGGGCCAGAGACCCAGACACUGCUGCGCUGGCCAUAUCACUGCACAAGGUUUGUGCGCAGGUACAGCAGCAGAUCUCCGUAGGCUGCGGUUCGUAGAUGCCUUCAAUUGGGGUCCAUUCAGGCCGGUAAGCACUGCUCUGCGAGACAGGAUGGAGCGGAUUGGUGCAGAUCCUCGUUGACGAGUAGGCAUAGUUUAUAAAUAAUCUUACGCUUGAUAAGUAGCCAAUAUAACUCGUCCGAUAGCAAGGUUGCGAUGGGAUCAUAUUUGGACUUGUGAACUGUCGGGCGAGCCGCAGCAUUUUCCACCGAUUGGAGCGGAUGCAGAUGCACAGCACUGGCAUAGCCGGAGAUGCUGUUGCACUAGUCCACACGACUGAUUACGAAUUCGUACACGAGCAUCCUAGUUGUCUUGAAAGAUAAGGUUAGAGUCUGUUAUGGAGCAAGUUAAGUGGUUACGAAUUUAACAUGGCCGAUAUAAUAGCUGUAGUGUGAUAAUCUUGUUUAAAGCAUAUUACUGAUAUAAUGUAUAUAUGUUUCAGUGUUCAGAAUAACGUGGCUACAGAGCUUGGACUAUUCUAAAGACGUGUUUGUAAUUAUGGUUAUGAUUAAAAGCACCUCUGAUAGUUAAAAAUGCUGGAAUGUUCAUUAUUCUUUAUUAAAUAAAUAAUGUGCCGUUAAUGCUGUAAACCUUUACAGUAACUUUUCGCGGUUUCACAAUUAUACAGGUACAGUAUAACAUACUUGGGUUUUGACGAGAUCAGACCAGAUCCAUGAAUGAGUUUUAAAACGAUUGUCUAUACGGUACUGUUUUUAAUUCCAUAGUGUACGUGGUUAUUUAUUUAUGAUUUAUUUUUAUAUGAUUAUAUUCAUGAAUAAAUAAUGCCCCAUUCAGGCAGUGAACUUUUAUUGAGCAUUACAAUGGUUUCACAAUUAUACGGUGCCAUCAUAAUUAAGUAAUGAGACCGCACAUAUGAAAGUAUGUGGGAAAUUUUUAUUCUGUUAAAAGUGACCUGUAUUCAUUUGUACAUAUUGCUUUAGCAUAUUUUCUGUAUGAUUCAUGCGACUGUAUUUGUUUCGAUUAAAGCUUUCGUGACUGCAGGGAUUCAUAUUCUUGGUUCUUUCGGUAAAGUCACGUAGAAGGGAAAUAAUCAAAAUAAAACAAUAUAAUAAAAUUCUCACGACGUUUCGGCCACAACGCAAGCAGCCGUCCUGAGGUGAAGAAACAGAGCUGUCAGAAAGACGCUGUAUUUUGUGACAGAAACGUCGUGAAAAUUUUAUUAUAUUAUGUUUUAUUUGUAUUAUUUUAUUAUUUCCCUUCUACGUGACUUUACCGAAAGAACCAAGAAUAUGUAUAUGUUUCAUUUAACUGAUGGAUAAAUGAAUAGUUAAGGUUAAAGAGUUAUCUAUUUGCUAGGGCGGUCAUGAUUGAGCUUUGACCGAGAGUUAAUAUGUUAAAUGUGUUAAUAGAGUACUGUUGAAUGUUGCUAAGAAUAUUGGGUUAUAUUUAAAUUAUAUA